UUGAGCCUUCUUAUCUUUCACAGAUGAACCCCCGUCCCCAUACAAGUUUUGUUUCUCUUCUUGUAUGUUUCUCUUUCACCAUCUCUUUUCAAUCCCCCACCAUCGUACAUAUCAUCAUAGUGUUUCCAACCUAUAGAUUUUAUCGCCUUACACUACCCUAAACAUGAUCUCCGCCGAAUUUGUAUCCCUUCUCAGCCGCAUCCAUCGGCCUCACCACAUCCGGUGACACUAAUUUGCUUAUUCGGGCACAGAUCUCACAAGGCGUGCAUGGAUCUGGUUUCUAGGUCUCUUCGAUGUGGGUGUCAAUUAUGCUAGCCCUAUCCGCUAUCUAUGCCACCCUUUUGCGCGUGCUAUGAAGUAGUGAGAGAUUUUAUUUCAACACGCCAUCGCGACCUUCGCCUCGUUGAUGCCACCAGGGAAACACAAUCUAAGGGGAAAAAAACUAAACAAUGAGGUCCCCACUCCUUUUGCCACCGAGCUAAGAGAUGGUGGCGAACCGAGGUGGUGGUGUGGAGACCUUUGACAGCGGCAGGGGGAAGGGUUGGGAACGAGCAAUGGGAUAAAGAAUAAGUUGAAAUUAUGUUGAGUUGGGUAAGUUGAAAUUUCUCUCCGGUGUUGAAUAAGGCACUUUUCUGUGUUAUUCCUUGUUAGAAAGAAAGGGUGAGUUUACUCAAGUAGGGCAUUUUAGAGCCCGAGCUUCAUAGAGGGCUUAAUUUUGAAAAAAAAAAUCAAACUUACUAGUUUCAAAAACUUCUAAAAGAAAUGCACAUGCAUACAAGGAUGUAAUGUGUAUGUUUGUAAAGAUUCAGGAUUCAAAACCUUGAAUUGCAAGCUGCGCAAAAAAACAUGGGCUUUAAGGAUGAACAGUAUAUAUGUAAAAAAGUUACAGAUUUGUUUUCUUUUUCUGUAGCCCUCAUUUUAACAUAUUUAGACCUGAAAAUUAUAUACAUGUACAUUAUGUCUCAAUGUAUAUGUCUCUGUUUUUCUGAAUUUUUAGAAACUGGAAAUUUUGAAUUUGAAGUUUACUCCCCUGAAACUAAAAUCCAUGGUUCACCUAACGGUUUAUAUAAGAAACUUCUUUUCUUUUCCUUAUUCAUGCACGUGGAGUUCUUGAGUUUUCUCAAUCAUAUUUUUUUUAGGCCCUAAGUAAUGUUGUACGGCAUUUCGUAAUGGUAUUUUGUAAACAUAGAAAGAGUCAUUUUGCCUAGGCAUAGUCACACCAUGUCGCAAACAUGGAAAGCAAUUCAAACAUUAAUAGGGGGAAAAAGACUAGGCACAGUCACACCAUGUCCUAAACAUGGAAGGCAAUUCAAACUUGGAGGGGAAAAAAGACUAGCAUAGUGACAAUUGAGACCGAUUUCCCUAUUCAAUAGCACACACUAAAUGCCUGACUUCUCCACUUUCCACUUCCGCCGCACGAGCAAAGCACCAAGCGGCAUGGAAAUGAGCAAGUAUUUUAACAUGGCUGACAAAAUAUCAAGGAUAACAACAGCCACUCUAACGAAGAGUGGAAGAGGCACUUCUAUCUGGUAAACGGAAGAACAGAAAGAAUGAAAGAG